AAAGAUGUGGGGAUUGAGAAUUACAGUGCAACUCUCCUUUGGCACCGAAGCCAAUAUUGGCGCAUUUCUGCCCUUUUCCUACUGGUGCCAAAGGAGAUUUGCCCUGCCAUUCACCAACACAGUUGUUCGGU
rnacentral:pre_miRNA from 1 species